ACAGAGACUGCACAGGCCUCCAGCACUGCAAGGGCAACCCAGAAGAGAGACAACUUGCUAAGCCUUUCAAAAGAAUGGGGAAGUAUUGGUUCCAGACCUGCUGCAGAGAGAGGCUCAAAGAGACUCGGCACUGGCAGAACAAAGAAACCUAGGAGGGAAGCUUUGCUCCAAAAGAGAGGUUUUGCUUCAGGAGAAGACUGUUCCAAGGAAAGAGAGACUGGCUGUUUCAAACUCAAAAAAGCUGAUCUUAUGGCUCUUAGCAAAAUAGUGGUGUCUUUAAGAGUUGAUUGGGCUCCUUCCUCCUGAGUGGGUUUAAGUACCUUACAAAAGAGGCUUCAAGCAGUAUUCAGCUCUCUUGCCCUUCCGCUCUCUGCUAUGUGAAGACACAGUGUUCCUCCCCUCUCCCUUCUGGAAGACACAGCGACAAUGUGCCAUAUCGGAAGGAAGCAGAGAACAUCCCUCACCAAAUAAUCAAUCCUGCUGGUGCCUUAAUUAUGAACUUCUCAGCCUGCAGAACUCAUGAAGGCCAUCAUCGGAUGUGGGCUGAUUGAUCUUGGACUUCCAAGCCUCCAGAACUAGAACUACUCCACCAUCAUCUGAUGUGGUUCUGAUGGCUGUGUGUUUCUCACCUUUAUCCUCAGCCUGUG